GACGUAGGGCGCGAGCGUUGUCCGGAUUUAUUGGGCGUAAAGAGCUCGUAGGCGGCCUGUUGCGUCGACUGUGAAAACUCACGGCUUAACCGUGGAACUGCAGUCGAUACGGGCAGGCUAGAGUUCGGUAGGGGAGACUGGAAUUCCUGGUGUAGCGGUGAAAUGCGCAGAUAUCAGGAGGAACACCGGUGGCGAAGGCGGGUCUCUGGGCCGAAAUUGACGCUGAGGAGCGAAAGCGUGGGGAGCAAACAGG
rnacentral:rRNA from 1 species